GGGUGGAAGGGGCGCAAGCUGAUCAGCCAUGCCGCGUGAGUGAAGAAGGCCUUCGGGUUGUAAAGCUCUUUCUGACGGGAAGAAAUCGCAUCUUCUAAUACCCGCUGGGCAGGACGGUACCAAUAGAAGAAGCACCGGUUAAUGCCGUGCCCCCCGCCGCUGUAAUAA
rnacentral:rRNA from 1 species